CAUUCUACAAAUAUUCCAUGAGGUUGUUUUCCAUAUUGGCUCCCUGGAAAGCCUUAGAAAUUCUCAAGAAGUCUUGGCUACUGAUUCCAGAUAUCCGUGUCAAGCUCUUCCUCUUGUUGACUGGAACACAGAAAAUUACUAUCAUCUGCACCACCCCACCCUACCUUUAUCUGUAAAAUAAUUGCUAUAUUUUUAUGAUGCCAUUGUAAUCAACCAACUGUAUCACUUUUUAAAAUUGUAUCUGAGGCUAAAUAUAAUUUACUGCCUAAAAUUUAAAUAUAUUA
ensembl:lncRNA novel transcript